rnacentral:rRNA from 1 species
UGGGGAAUAUUGCACAAUGGAGGGAACUCUGAUGCAGCGACGCCGCGUGAACGAAGAAGGCUUUCGAGUCGUAAAGUUCUUUUAUAUGGGAAGAUAAUGACGGUACCAUAAGAAAAAGCCCCGGCUAACUACGUGCCAGCAGCCGCGGUAAUACGUAGGGGGCUAGCGUUGUCCGGAAUCACUGGGCGUAAAGGGUUCGCAGGCGGAAAUGCAAGUCAGGUGUAAAAGGCAGUAGCUUAACUACUGUAAGCAUUUGAAACUGCAUAUCUUGAGAAGAGUAGAGGUAAGUGGAAUUUUUAGUGUAGCGGUGAAAUGCGUAGAUAUUAAAAAGAAUACCGGUGGCGAAGGCGACUUUCUGGACGACAACUGACGCUUAGGCGCGAAAGCGUGGGGAGCAAACAGG